UAGUUUCCAAUAAUAUCCUCCAGUGUUGCUUCUGUCUCUCCACACAAACUCCUGUUAGAAGUCUUUAUAUCAUUCUGCAAACAUAAGUCUCUCCAUGUUUAGCUCUUAUUUGAUGAAUAAACUGAGCCUCAUGCAUGUAACUGCAGACUUCUGAGUUUGAAAUUCAUAUUUUGCACUAAGCAGUAAAUGGCUUUGUUAGAAACUCAUUUAUAACAUCCUGUGCACUGUAUUGUGUAAUAAUUGUAUAUAACUGUACACUGUGAUGUGUGUCUGUGUAGGGAGUCCGAUCUGGAUGAAGUUUGUCAUCAACUUUGUGUCUGUAACGCCGUGAGAGACGCUCUGGAAGGAGAAAUCCUCAGCAUUCGUUUCCAGCAGCUGCUCCUCAAGCCUAGUAAACGGAUCGUGGACUUCAUCUUAGAGGUGGUCUACGAUAAAGGAGAGAUCUACUCGUUCUCCAAGCACGGACGUUUUUGCCACGAGAUAAAGAUGAACUACUCUCCGUACACGAACUACUUCACCCGAGUCUUCUGGAAUCGCUCGUAUCACGUCUACAAAGUGAACUCCGUCAUCUCCUUCCAGUACUGACGGCAGAUCGGACUCCUCUCGUAUUUAAGAUCUCAUCCACAGUUGGACACUCUGGGCUUCUGCAAGCGUCUCGUCACUGUUACGUCGAAGCCGCACGUUCAGCAGGGAUCGGCUGAGGACGCCGCACCGACCUCCACGUGUCGAAGUCGAAACACGCCAUAUUAAUCACUGUACUGUACUUUUAUAAGCCAUGCGUUACUGUCAAUGUUACUGUGAGGCAUUUAAUGAAGGGGGGUGGAUG